rnacentral:rRNA from 1 species
AUUGAACGCUGGCGGCAUGCCUUACACAUGCAAGUCGAACGGCAGCGCGGACUUCGGUCUGGCGGCGAGUGGCGAACGGGUGAGUAAUACAUCGGAACGUACCGUGUUGCGGGGAUAACCAGUCGAAAGAUCAGCUAAUACCGCAUACGACCUGAGGGUGAAAGUGGGGGACCGCAAGGCCUCACGCAGCAGGAGCGGCCGAUGUCUGAUUAGCUAGUUGGUGGGGUAAAGGCCCACCAAGGCGACGAUCAGUAGCUGGUCUGAGAGGACGAUCAGCCACACUGGGACUGGGACACGGCCAAGACUCCUACGGGAGGCAGCAGUGGGGAAUUUUGGACAAUGGGGGCAACCCUGAUCUAGCAAUGCCGCGUGUGUGAAGAAGGCCUUCGGGUUGUAAAGCACUUUUGUCCGGAAAGAAAUCGCGCUGGUUAAUACCUGGCGUGGAUGACGGUACCGGAAGAAUAAGCACCGGCUAACUACGUGCCAGCAGCCGCCGUAA